rnacentral:rRNA from 1 species
CCCAGGGGACGUGGAUAACCUCGGGAAACUGAGGAUAAACCAUGAUAGGCCAAGAUUUCUGGAAUGGAUCAUGGCUAAAACCUAUAUGGCCCCUGGAUUGGACUGCGGCCGAUCAGGCUGUUGGUGAGGUAAUGGCCCACCAAACCUGUAACCGGUACGGGCUCUGAGAGGAGGAGCCCGGAGAUGGGCACUGAGACAAGGGCCCAGGCCCUAUGGGGCGCAGCAGGCGCGAAACCUCUGCAAUAGGCGAAAGCUUGACAGGGUUACUCUGAGUGACGUCCGUUAAGGACGUCUUUUGGCACCUCUAAAAAUGGUGCAGAAUAAGGGGUGGGCAAGUCUGGUGUCAGCCGCCGCGGUAAUACCAGCACCCCGAGUGGUCGGGACGAUUAUUGGGCCUAAAGCAUCCGUAGCCGGUUCUGCAAGUCCUCCGUUAAAUCCACCUGCUCAACAGAUGGGCCGCGGAGGAUACUACAGGGCUAGGAGGCGGGAGAGGCAAGCGGUACUCAGUGGGUAGGGGUAAAAUCCUCUGAUCCACUGAAGACCACCAGUGGCGAAGGCGGCUUGCCAGAACGCGCUCGACGGUGAGGGAUGAAAGCUGGGGGAGCAAACCGGAUUAGAUACCCGGGUAGUCCCAGCUGUAAACGAUGCAGACUCGGUGAUGGGUUGGCUUUGAGCCAACCCAGUGCCGCAGGGAAGCCGUUAAGUCUGCCGCCUGGGGAGUACGGUCGCAAGACUGAAAC